GAGGGUACAGCUCAAGUCGUAGAGCGCAUGCUUAGCAUGCAUGACGUCCUAGGUUCAAUCCUCAGUACCACCA
rnacentral:tRNA from 1 species